CCCGCCGGCGGGAGCUGCAAAGGGGCUCCAGAGCGGCCCCAACUCCCUCCAGUGCAACAGCAGUUUGAAGGGGGGGGGGGAAAGCCGUGAGGGGCAGGAGCGAGGAGAAGUGAUGGGGAAGCACUGCAAUGGGGGAGCGUGGUCCAGGCAACAGGAGAAAGAUGCAACCUCAAGUCGAAUGCAACAUGCAAUCCCCGGCCGCCGCUCGCCCGCUCCCUCCCCUCGCCACCCCGCCCCCUUUCCAAAUAACUACCCUUGAACCACUUUAUUAGCAGUACUUAGUCCAGCACUCGCUCCCGGGAGGGGCGGGGGACGGGGGCCUUCGCUCACCUUUAUUUAUUGCUGCUUUCUCCCCCCUCUCCAUGUUUUUUAUUCCUAAGUUCUUUUGUUCUAAGGGGGAUGAUGGCAUUUACUUUUCUGCUUUGUGUAGCAGGGCAAUCACUGGGAAUCGGCCACGUAUAAUCCGGCGGUUUGUCAUAUUUUAUUAGUGAAAGUAUUUUAUGCCUAUUCUACCUCCAAGGACUGUAACAUGGAGAAUUGCAGGGAGGAGAAAAACAUCAGAAGAAUUCUUGUUUUGAGAGAUUUCUUGGCGGGGCGGGGGAGGGCCUUUUUUUUUUUUUUUGGAGGGGGUUUAUUUAGAUUUUCGAAUCGAUAGUUUUCAACUUGAAGCUUAACGUUUUUGUAUGGAUGUAUUACCGGAUUCUAAACCCCCAACCACAAUAAAUUUUUUAAAAGUAAAAAAUCUUAGAUUAAAAAAAACCCCUACUGGACAGUGAUAUUAUCUGAUCUGUGCAGCACUCUGGACUUAACAUAGUGUUGGCCUUCGAAUGUUAAAUAACAAUAAACCCCAACCUCAACUGAAUACAAAUGGGGGGGUGGGGGGUUUUGUUUUUAAAGCUCAGCACUUUUGUAGCAACUGCCACUACGCAUUUUCCAGGCAUUGAUUAGCCAUGCAACUCCCAUAGGCAUGAAAUCCAGUUUUUGCAGAUAAAGAGCAACAGUGGUGAGAUGAUUUGCCCAAAGUCAAAGUGAGUCAUUCGCAGAACCAGAAAUAGCCUUGGACUUUACUAGUCACAUCUUUUCCAUUAAAUAAUAUUUCUAUUACCUUGUUAUGUAUUUUCACAAGAGGUGCUUUGAGAUCAUUGGAUAUGAAGGUAUUUUUUUACUUUCGUGACCUGCAAAAUUAAGUUUAGUUUCUCAAGAAAAAGCAAUUUUUAAAAAUUCUGAUUUCUUAAAAAAUAAAAUAUGGACUUUAUGGUACAUGUGUAGGCCAUUUAGUAGUCUGAGCUUUAUGUUAAAAAAAAUUCACAGCAGCGAAAGUGUAAGAGUUUGAGAGUGAAAAUGAAAAUUCCUAUAAAUGAUUCAAGAAGCCUAGAUGAACUCAUAAUGUUGUGAAACUAAACCCAUAACGCAGUCAAGAUGAAUAACGGGAGGACAGGUUGGGUAGUAAGACCCAGCUUUACCAUCUAGAGCUAACUGUAAUGUAUUUAAAAUGAGGGAGGGGGUCUUUCAAGCUGGACCCACUGGCCAGUCACUGGAACUAUAACCUAAUGGUGUGAUUUCAAAUCAUCCCAGGCUAUCAACCUUUUUUCAUAGGAAGACUGCUUUGGUGUUCUUUCUGGAAAAAGAAGGUAAAAUUUUUUUUGGAAUUUCAUAGAAAAAAAUCCAGAACCUCUAAUUGUAUCAUGCUAUAGAACUGGGGUUAGCAAACUUUUUCUGUAAAAGCCCAGAUAGUAAAUAUCGUAGAUUUUGCAUCCCAUACAGUCCCUGUCACAACUUCUCCACUCUAUGCUGUUAUAACCCAAAAGCAUCUAUACGACAACAUGUAAAUGAAUGAAUCUGGCUAUGUUCUAAUACAAUUUGUAUUUAUAGGCCUUGACAUUUGGAUUUAAUGUACUUUUCACAUGUCUUGAAAUAUUCUUUUGAUUUUUUUCAGUCAUUAAGAAAAAUUUUUUAAAAAGCACCACAUUCCCAGUUUGGGGACUUCACAAAACCAGGCAGUGAGCUGGAUGGGGCCCACGGGCUGUCAUUUACCAAUCCUUGCUAUAAAAAAAGACUUAAGGUGGACUAACCACUGAACUUGUACCAAAGGGUGCUUGGUUAUUAAGAUGUGUGGUAGCAACCAAAAAUCAAUGUUAUGCAAAGUCAUUGUCUAGAUAUUUAAUUAAAAUAUUUUUAGCUGAAUAUAAGAGUGUCUAACACUCCUGUAACUACCAAACUUAAUGGAAAAAAAAUACUCUGGAAGUAUUGCUCCUUCAACUAAGGCACUUUGGGGCAGGCUGCUUAAUCUCUGUUAACAGCCUCAGUUUUCCUAUCUUGUAAAUUGCAGCUUAGAAUACCUACUUCCAGCCCCGGGCAAGGUGUUGCAUGCCUGUAAUCCCAGCACUUCGGGAGACCGAGGCUGGCGGAUCCCUUGAGCUCAGGUGUUCAAGACCAGCCUGGUCAACAUGGUGAAACCCUAUCUCUACAAAAUGUGCAAAAAUUAGCUGGGCAUGGUGCCACGCACCUGUAGUCCCUGCUACUCUGGAGACUGAUGUGGGAGGAUCACUUGAGCCCAAGGGGUUGAGGCUGCAGUAAGCUGAGAUUGCUCCACUGCACUCCAGCUGGGUGACAGAGUGAGGCCCUGUCUCAAAAACAACAACAAAAACCCUACUAAGUAGGGCUCUCGAGAAGACUGAAUAAAAUAAUUCAUGUAACGUGCUUAGCACAGUCCUGGCACAUAGAACUGUAUAAUGCAUUUUCACUGUGCCCUUAAAUUCAUUUUCUUAGUUAACAUAACUCAAGAAGGUGAACAGGUGGCAUCCCAGUAUUUUGAUGGUGCAGAUGUGCAUGUGGGAUUCAGGGACUCUCGUGUUGAUUGAAGAUUGUGAGGUUGGCAUUAUAAGCUUUGGUGGGUCUUUCUCAAGCUCUCAGCAUCUCUGUGUGCUUGACACAGGCACUCUGUGGGCACACACUAGCUCUGUGGCCUUAUACAAAAUACCUAGGCUUUCUGAACCCUGGUGUUCCUUAAACAUAAAGAUAAUACCUUGUGAGAUUGUUGUAAGGGCUAAAUGGCUUAAGUGUUAAAGGAAAAAAGAUAACAAUUAGUAUGUUAGCAGAAAUUCCAGAAAUAAGCUAGAAAUUGAAAGUUUACUGUCAAAAGCUGCUUUGAGACAUUCAACUUUUAGACAUGAAUGACAUAAUCAUAGCAGGUGCACAAUAACUUAAAAUUUGCUCUCCUGCCACCUAGUUACCCUUCCAACCCAUUUAAUUGCCAUCAAAACCCUGUUGAACAGUCCAGGCGCAGUGGCUCAGGCCUAUAAUCCUAGUACUUUGGGAGACAGAGGCAGGAAGAUCACCUGAGGUCAGGAAUUCAACACCAGUCUGGGCAACAUAGCAAGACCCCAUCCAAGCUACUAGUGGGGAGCUGAGGUGGGAGGAUCACUUGAACCAAAGUGUUAAAGGCUACUGCAGUGAGCCACAAUUGGACCACUGCACUCCAGCCUGGACAACAGAACGAGACCCUGCCUCAAAACGAAAAAACAAAAACUGCUGAACAAAGGUUAAAACCCAAAUCUUGAAUGUUAUUAAAUAUCAAAUGUGCAGUUUUAAAUUUUUGUAAAAGUACUCAAAUUAGUAUUUUCUUACAUAUUCCUGCCUCCUGUUCUAUGCUUCAAGAAGUUAUCCAAACUCCAAGAUUAGAAAACUACUUACAAUUUUCUUCUUGUAUUUUUAUGGUUUCUAUUUUUUCCAUUUACUUUGCUACAUUUAUCUUUAAAAUUUUUUUUGGUGCGAGAUAUGAGGUAGGAAUCUAAAUAACUUUUGUUCAAUAAAAAGUAUUUAAUUAGGCCGGGCGCGGUGGCUCACGCCUGUAAUCCUAGCACUUGGAGGCUGAGGCGGGCAAAUUGCCUGAGCUUGGGAGUUCAAGACCAGCCUGGGCAACAUGGUGAAACCCCAUCUCUACUAAAAUACAAAAAAUUAGUCGGGUGUAGCAGCAGGCACCUGUGGUCCCAACUACUCGGGAGGCUGAGGCAAGAAAAUCGCUGGAACCCAGGAGGCAGAAGUUGCAGUGAGCUGAGAUUGCGCCACUGCACUACAGCCUGGGCAACAGAGCGAGACUCCAUCUCCAAAAAAAAAAAAAAAAAGGAUUUAAUUAAUAUUAAUAUUGGGGUUCUAUGGGACAAUGUAAAAUGCCACUCAAAAUAGUAAAAUAGCUUCCUUCCUAUUUGCACUAUUAGUCUAAUGCAGAUACACUGUAAAUAUAGAAAAAAGGUAAUAGGCAUUACAUAUUAUAUUAUUAUAGAGUCCUUAUAUACUAUAAUAGAGAAUGAAUUUUUCUUAUUUUACAGUUUUAUACUAGCACAGCACAUAACCACACCCAUGGAUAUUAAGGUAUUUUUGUACAUGUAUAUGAUUUUCUCUGAUGUUCUGGAACUUGACAGUAUUUCAAAUAAAGCAAUGAAACCCCCCCUGGAAAGGACUGAUUGAUGGCUUUCUCAUCCAACCCGGCCACCCUUCCCACUUCACUCAACCACUGUCCUGUUUUCUGCUCCAGGCUGAAAAGUAACCUCAUUAUCUCUUAAAAGGUCAGCCCAAAGAAGAUUUGAACUCUGUCUGAAAACCUGGGAGUUCUAUUUCUUCACUGAGGCAGGAAGAGAACUGAUGAGAUAGAAGUUGCAGAUGACCAAGUUUACUGAAAAUGGGUGCUGUGAGUGAAAGAAAGAGGAAUGGAUUAAAUUUAAAAUGACACUACUUCAGCCAUCUCAGCAUCUGGGUUGGUGGACAAAACUAGAGGACUGGCGUUUCUGGGGGCACGUGUCAGGAAGCACUGAUCUGGUGACUUUUGGAGGAAAAAGCUGGCUUAUUCGGGUCCAGUCAUCAUGGUCCAUUUACUGUUUUGUAGUACCUCCAGAAUUGUCUCUCUUUUCUAUCUAUUUCUCCCAAAAAUAGGAUUUCUCCUCUUUACAAAUGUCACAGAAGGAAGCUCUAAAGAGUGAUUUCCAGCAUCCAUACAAGUGAAAAGUUCAGCUCCCAAGAGGAGCAGACAACGUCCGCAAAGCAAACCAAGCAAGACCCAUGGGGCCAAGGCAUUAAGUGGUUUCUCAGGGUGGUGGAAUGUGGCUGCUUCCCUGCUUCUCCCAGAGAAGCUUUAAAUGUGUAGGUAACUUCCCAGACCACCAGAAGGCACCAACAUGGGAAAAACAGAUCCAGUCACUGGCCCAGAGAGUCAGAAAUCAGCCCAUCCAGGUGACCCCGCUUAGGCUCCUGUUCAUGCACUUGUCAAAGGCCAGCCCAGCCCAAGGAGGGGGAAAGAAUUAGACAGAGGAUCAGCUUUUUAUUUUCAUGUACAAAGCACUUGCCCUCGGGUUAUAAAUGUUAUUGCAUUUGUGUAGCACUUUACUGCUGCCCUCAGCUUGCAAGCAUCACAGGAUCCCAGUGGCAGUACUUUCUUAACCCUUGAUCAAUAGCUUAUUUCUAUCGCCUUCAGUCCCAGCUGCCAAUCCGUUCUGUAAAAUGUGGGAGGCAGACUUCGCUGCUCUCCAGCUGUACAUGUUAUGAAUGUAAACGGUGCAAGUAACAUAUGUAUUAUACGUAUGUGUGUGUGUGUACUGAGUGGGGGACAUGAGAUUUUUGAACAAGGAGUAACAAAAAUGGGACCCUUGUUCUGGGAGACUCCCAUACAGCUGGGAGUUUUCUUUCUAGUUUCUCCUUUUCUCUCUUUCUCUCUCUCUGAAACGAUGUGCUUGGUAUUCUGUCAUGUGGCAGGAGAAAUUCUCUCUUAAGUUUCUGUGUUUUUAUUUGAUAUAUAUUUGGGGGAAGGGGUGAAAAGUGGACAGAAAGAUCUAAGUUCCAAGAAAGAAAGGGUCAUGUCCAUCUUAUUUAUCACCCCUGUAGUCCCAGCACCUACACUGAGCCUAGCACAGAACAGGUGCUCAGGAAGUAUUUGUUGACUAAAUGAAUGAAUUCAGGAAUGGGAGGAUAAGAGGGCCCCAGAGCAAUCCUCUGGAGCUGCCUGAGCAAAGAGGCAAAGGCCUUGUCUUGCUGGCAGCAAGGGGGACCACAAAAGGUUUAAUGGGCAUCUACUUUAUUUAUUUUAUUUUUAUUUUUUGAGAUGGAGUCUUGCUCUGUCUCCAGGCUGGAGUGCAGUGGCGUGAUUUCGGCUCACUGCAACCUCCACCUCCUGGUUUCAAGCGAUUCUCCUGCCUCAGCCUCCUUAGUAGCUGAGAUUACAAGCACGCACCACCACGCCCAGCUAAUUUUUGUACUUUUAGUAGAGACGGGGUUUCACCACGUUGGCCAGGCUGGUCUCAAUCUCCCCACCUCGUGAUCCGACCACCUCGGCCUCCCAAAGUGCUGGGAUUACAGGAGUGAGCCACUGCUCCCGGCCAGCAUUCUACUUUAUUUAAGGCUCACUCUAGGCACCUUGGGAACCACAGAGAAAUGAGAUCAUAAGCAUAACCAGCUACUACUGUUCCAGUUUACCAGGGAGCAGAGUCAGCCAAGAAACCACUUGGGGACAAAUUCCUCAUCUCACCUUCUUUCCCUCACCUCUGAAGCUAGUUUUAAGACAAACGCACCCUAGGAGACACUUUGAAGGAUGAAGGAGGAUCCCAAAGCUCCGUGACAUCCUCCAGCUCCAGGAAGAUGACUCCAUCUCGCGGUAAGGCAGCCGGGACUGCCCUUGUCUGAACCUAUGUCCUUGAGGCUCAGCCAAACCUCUCCUUCUGUGGCAGAGGGAUGUUUAGGUGACAUUCUUCUCCCUGCCACUCAGCAUCUUUUAAACAAUCUUCCUCCACCUUGGGAGAAUAUGCAUGAACUCACUGCAGUCUGGGACCACGGAAGCUGAAAAUUGUCUUUCUCCCUGGGAGGGGAAUUGGUCACAAAGGGAAAAACCGACCUCCCCUGAAAAAUAAGAAUCUGGGGCCAGGCGCGGUGGCUCACACCUGUAAUCCCAGCACUUUGGGAGGCCGAGGCGGGCGGAUCACCUGAGGUCAGGAGUUCAGGACUAGCUUAGCCAACAUGGUGAAACCCCAUCUCUACUAAAAAUACAAACUUAGCCAGGCAUGGUGGCACAUGCCUGUAAUCCCAGCUACUCAGGAGGCUGAGGCAGGAGAAUCGCUUGAACUCAGGAGGCAGAGGUUUCAGUGAGCCGAAAUCGCACCACUGCAUUCCAGCCUGGGCAACAGAACAAGACUUCGUCUCCAUAAAAAAAGAAUCUGGGAUGACUGCAGGUUCUUUCAGGCAAAGUUCUUUUGCUUGCCAUGGUAGAAAUCCACGUCAAGUGGAAUUAGUGAAGGAGGGACCUCGUUGGAAGUAUAUCAGGUACGUUGCAGGGCAGGGGCAGUUGGCUCAGAAGGACCGGGUACCAAACCCUGGAAGAUGGACUCCCCAGGAAUCCUCAGAAGCAGCAACACCCCACGUUUGGCUGCUGUCAGCUGCACUUAAGUUUCCUCAGCCUGCUCGCCCCAGCCUCGGGGGCCUGUGGUGGGAGGGGAGGAGGUUGGCACAGCCCCUUGGCUCUGCAGCACACUGCCUGUAGUGCACCAUGAAUUAAUAUUUUUAAUAAAUCCUGUAAUUAUCUUGUGAACAGAA